rnacentral:rRNA from 1 species
GGAUUGCCUUAGUAACGGCGAGUGAAGCGGCAAAAGCUCAAAUUUGAAAUCGGCCACCAGGUCGAGUUGUAAUUUGUAGAUUGUAUCUUGAGAGCGGAUUAAAGUCUGUUGGAACACAGCGCCUUAGAGGGUGACAGCCCCGUAAAAUCUAUUCUCAUUGUAAGAUACUUUCGAAGAGUCGAGUUGUUUGGGAAUGCAGCUCUAAGUGGGAGGUAAAUUCCUUCUAAAGCUAAAUAUUGACGAGAGACCGAUAGCGAACAAGUACUGUGAAGGAAAGAUGAAAAGCACUUUGAAAAGAGAGUGAAAAAGUACGUGAAAUUGUUAAAAGGGAAGGGUAUUGAAUCA